rnacentral:rRNA from 1 species
UACGGAAGGCAGCAGUGGGGAAUAUUGCACAAUGGGCGCAAGCCUGAUGCAGCCAUGCCGCGUGUAUGAAGAAGGCCUUCGGGUUGUAAAGUACUUUCAGCGGGGAGGAAGGCGAUGCGGUUAAUAACCGCGUCGAUUGACGUUACCCGCAGAAGAAGCACCGGCUAACUCCGUGCCAGCAGCCGCGGUAAUACGGAGGGUGCAAGCGUUAAUCGGAAUUACUGGGCGUAAAGCGCACGCAGGCGGUCUGUUAAGUCAGAUGUGAAAUCCCCGGGCUUAACCUGGGAACUGCAUUUUGAAACUGGCAGGCUUGAGUCUUGUAGAGGGGGUUAGAAUUCCAGGUGUAGCGGUGAAAUGCGUAGAGAUCUGGAGGAAUACCGGUGGCGAAGGCGGCCCCUGGGACAAAGACUGACGCUCAGGUGCGAAAGCGUGGGGAGCAAACAGGGAUUAGGAUACC